rnacentral:rRNA from 1 species
GACGAACGCUGGCGGCGUGCUUAACACAUGCAAGUCGAACGGUGAAGCGCCUUCCUUUUUGGUGGGUGUGGAUGAGUGGCGAACGGUUGAGUAACACGUGAGUAACCUGCCCCCUUCUUCUGGAUAACCGCAUGAAAGUGUGGCUAAUACGGGAUAUUCUGGGUCUGUCGCAUGAUGGGUCUGGGAAAGAUAUUGUUUCGGUGGGGGAUGGGCUCGCGGCCUAUCAGCUUGUUGGUGGGGUGGUGGCCUACCAAGGCGGUGACGGGUAGCCGGCCUGGGAGGGUGGACGGUCACACUGGGACUGAGACACGGCCCAGACUCCUACGGGAGGCAGCAGUGGGGAAUAUUGCACAAUGGGCGCAAGCCUGAUGCAGCGACGCCGCGUGAGGGAUGGAGGCCUGCGGGUUGUGAACCUCUUUCGCCAGUGAAGCAGGCCUGCCUCGUUUGUGGGUGGGUUGACGGUAGCUGGAUAAGAAGCGCCGGCUAACUACGUG